rnacentral:rRNA from 1 species
CGCGUAGGCGGCUUAUCAAGUCAGGGGUGAAAUUUUGCGGCUUAACCGUAACAGUGCCUUUGAUACUGAUAGGCUCGAGGGAGAUAGGGGUCUGCGGAACUUCUGGUGGAGCGGUGAAAUGCGUUGAUAUCAGAAGGAACGCCGGUGGCGAAAGCGGCGGACUGGAUCUCUUCUGACGCUGAGGCGCGAAAGCUAGGGAGCAAACG